GUGGGAAUUUUGGACAAUGGGCGCAAGCCUGAUCCAGCAAUGCCGCGUGAGUGAAGAAGGCCUUCGGGUUGUAAAGCUCUUUUGUCAGGGAAGAAACGGCUGUGGCUAAUAUCCAUGGCUAAUGACGGUACCUGAAGAAUAAGCACCGGCUAACUACGCGCCAG
rnacentral:rRNA from 1 species